GUCUAUGGCCGUGCUACCCUGAACAUGCCCGAUCCCAUCUGAUCUCAGAAGCUAAGCAGGGUCGGGCCUGGUUAGUACUUGGAUGGGAGACCACCUAGGAAGAAUAGGUGCUGUAGGCA
rnacentral:rRNA from 1 species